CGAGUAGAGAAAAUGGCAGACAAUAUUGAUAUUGAACCCAUGCUUGAGGCCCAUUACAAGAAGAAUGAGAGCAAGUUGAACAGUGCUAAGGACCAUGAAGAACGUAGCAAAAGAAAAUAAGAGCAAGGGCAGAAUUCGUAGUCAUGAGAGAAAAAGAAACAAAAGUAAAGAAUGGAAAGGAAGUAGAGAUAGAGAAAGGAAAAAGAGCAAAAGCUGAGAGUGGAAAUGAAGUAGAAGCAAAGAAAUGGGAAGAAGCUGCUCAUGAAGUCAGGAUAGAAGAUUCAGAGGCCACUACAGAAGUCUCUAUAGAAGAUGUCCCGCAGCAAAAGUCAAUUCAGGAAAGAGAAGACCCCUGUGAGGGAACCUAUUGAUAAUCUCACUCAGGAGGAAAGGGAUGCAAGGAGUGGCAUGCAUGCAACUGGCAGCAAGAAUUCGACCAAGAGAUUUGGAAGAGUUUUUCUCUNCAGUUGGAAAGGUUCGAGAUGUGAGAAUGAUUUCUGAUAGAAAUACAAGACAUUCCAAAAGAAUUGCCUAUGCGGAAUUUGUUGAAGUCAGUUCAGUGCCUCUGGCAAUUGGAUUAACUGGCCAACAAGUUUUAGGAGUGCCAAUCAUAGUCUAGGCAUCACAGGCAGAAAAAAAAUAUAGAGCUGCUGCAAUGGCAAACAAUUUACAAAAGGAAAGUACUGGACCUAUGAGGCUCUAUGUAGGCUCAUUACACUUUAACAUAGCUGAAGAUAUGCUUCGGGGAAUCUUUGAACCUUUUGGAAGGACUGAAAAUAUUCAGCUCCUGAUGGAUAGUGAAACCAGUCGAUCGAAGGGAUAAGGAUUUAUUACAUUUUCUGACUCAGAAUGUGCCAAAAAGGCUUUGGAACAGCUUAAUGGAUUCAAGUUAGCUGGAAAACCAUUGAAAUUUGGUCAUGUUACUGAACAAACUGAUCUUUCUAGUGCUCGUUCAUGUUUGGACAGUGAUGAAUUAGAAAGGACUGGAAUUGACUUGGGAACAACUAGAUGUCUUCAGCUAAUGGCAAGACUUGCAAAGGAUUUGCAAACACAACUUUUCCAACAGACCAAUGCCUCAGCUUUAGCUGCAGCUGCAUCUGUUCAACCUCUUGCAACAGUAUUUCCAACUUUCUAAAAUGUUUAAUCCUCAAACAGAAGAAGUUGGAUUGGAUACAGAGAUUAAAGAUGAUGUCAUUGAAGAAUGUAAUAAACAUAGAAGAGUCAUUCAUAUUUACGUUGACAAAAAUUCAGCUCAAGGCAAUAUGUAUGUGAAGUGCCCAUCUAUUGCUGCUGCUAUUGCUGCUGUCCCUGCAUUGCAUGGAGGUGGUUUGCUGAUAAAAUGGUAACAGCAGUGCAUGUACCUCUUCUAACUUACCACAACCUCUUUCCUGAUUCUAUGACAGCAACACAACUAUUGUUUCCAAGUAGACGAUGA